GGAUGUGAGGGUGAUCUAGCUGCAACAUUGGUCACCCCAUUGAUCACCAGGGUUGAUUUGGCUGAUCUGCCUGGCUAGGUGGGUAUCCCCUUCCUCCCUCAACAUUCCACAUGCAUCCCUCCCAAAACCACAUGUUCGGUCGAAGUGGACCGAUCUCCUGGAUAGAGGAGGACCAGUCUUCCAUCAAGGGUAUAUGAGUAGCUGUGUUCCCCUACUAGAAUUUCCAAACAAGCACUCAGGAGGGGGGAAUUUAAAACAUCUUGAAACAAAUGAAAGUGGAAAUUCAACAUACCCAAACUU
rnacentral:snRNA from 1 species